GCAACGCUGCAUUGAACAAUAAAAAAUUUCAAAGUUAUCGUAGAGUAUUGAAAUAUUAUCAGCAGUCAUACGAUAUUCGGACGGUCAUCAUACCGUAUAUAAACCUCCCGAGUUCCGCAAAUACGGUAUAUAAACCUCCCGAGUUCCACAAAUAAAGUUCCCAAAGCACUUUAAUUAUUACGGUUAAGACAAUCUCUCUUUUAGAGUUGCGUUUUCCAUUCGAUGUUGAUGUCAUCCAUUUCAAAAGCACCAGGACGACACACAACCUAAGCGUAAGUUUUUACUUAAUGGACAAAAACUCGGGCAAUUUUUUUUCUUUGUAAACGUAAACCGUAUUUUACUACCCAAUUGGAAUAACAAAGACAAAGUAAAAGAGAUAUAAGCCCACUACACUACAUAACACGGCGUUUAUGCUACAAUGAAGCUGUCAGAUGUUUCUCUUUGCCGUACAAACAGCUGUUAAAAACAGUUGUCGCUUAAUUUUCGAUAAUGACGAAAAUGCUAAUCAUGUCGAAAAGGAAUGGGGAAAGGUAAAAAAGGUAAAAAAAGACAUUAGUUUAAAAGUUAGAGUCCUCGAAAAUCUUAUUAACCCCUUCGGUGUAUCAAUAUUAAGAAAUUUCGAUGGAUUGAACGGAAGAAGCCAGAAAGUUUAGAUUUACAAUGCUUUCAAUUUUUAUUUCAAAAUAUGCUAGUUCAGCAGUAAAUAACGUAAGGUGAUAAACAAAAAGUUUUCCACCUAAAUGGAUCGGACUUAAACAAUUUGUCGCUGCGGAUAUUAGUGCCUUCUCCAACCCUCUGUCAAUAAAAUAUUUCUUAAGUAACUGUUAACAGGCUGGUUAAGGCUGACACAUAACAAUUUAGCAGCUAUAGCUAUGCUGUGCCAGCCGAAAAUUUGGACCCUAGUAGAAUGCGUAAGUAAUAUCAUAUUGCUAAAAUUUCGGCCAGAAGAGGGCGUACAAAGACUGGCAUAACAACAUGACAAACGGUCUGAGUUGACACUUGGCCGUCUCUCCUGACGUAAUAUUUAAUAGUGGGUACUGGAGAAUUGCCCGCAGACGUCGAGGGUGUUUUGAUGAUGCGUAAAGGUUCGACAACGAUUUGAUCUGUUAACGCUUUCCAUCGAUUAAAAAAAAAAAACUGUCAUUCUGCCCAUUUCACGCUUCCACACGCAUCCAAUAUUUCUUUUCUAAAACAUCAGUGUUACCUGUUCGCCAGUAGCCGAAAGUUAGUAACGCACCAAACGAAAACUUUUGCAAAGAAUCAAACAGACUUUUUCCCGCAAAAAUAUUACGAUAUCAGCUAUCAGUUAUAUAUGAAGCCAUCGCGCCUUAAAAGUGAAUUUGGCUGUGAGAAAAUGAUCUGAAGUUAACUGAUCAAAACUAUAUAUAAGAUCGUCAAUGCCGCCGAGAUUUCUCUGUUACAAUCUGAACAGUGUACCUAAUACAUCAUUCACAUCUUUCGAUAAUUGUCAUAGGAUUACGAAAAAUAUUUCAUUUUA